UUUUAAUUCAAACAGUAUAAGAAAUGAUCGACAAGUGGUUUUGGCAUCAACAAAUAUCAUAUGGAGUAAUGUACUGUAAAUUUAAUGGAUUCUGUGGAUGUAUAGAUAGGUGCAGCUAAUCUUCACAAUAUAUGGCAACAAUGCUAAUAACAUAUUACACGAGAUGUGACGAGUCGAUCCGAUAGCACGUUUGAUAGAGAUAUUGACCAUUGUUAUGAGUAAAGCAGCGUUGCCAAA